UCAACAAGUCAAUGAUGAGUAGGUGUACUGUGUCACUUCAACAAGUCAAUGAUGAGUAGGUGUACUGUGUCACUUCAACAAGUCAAUGAUGAGUUGGUGUACUGUGUCACUUCAACAAGUCAAUGAUGAGUAGGUGUACUGUGUCACUUCAACAAGUCAAUG